rnacentral:rRNA from 1 species
AAGCGGUGGAGUAGUUGUCGGUUUAAUUCGAUGCAACGCGAAAACCUUACCUGCCUUGACAUCCUCGGAACUUGUCAGAGAUGACUUGGUGGCCUUCGGGAACCGAGAGACAGGUGCUGCAUGGCUGUCGUCAGCUCGUGUCGUGAGAUGUUGGGUUAAGUCCCGCAACGAGCGCAACCCUUGUCAUUAGUUGCCAUCAUUUGGUUGGGCACUCUAAUGAGACUGCCGGUGACAAACCGGAGGAAGGUGGGGAUGACGUCAAGUCCUCAUGGCCCUUAUGGGUAGGGCUCCACACGUCAUACAAUGGUCGGUACAGAGGGUUGCCAACCCGCGAGGGGGAGCUAAUCCCACAAAGCCGAUCGUAGUCCGGAUCGCAGUCUGCAACUCGACUGCGUGAAGUCGGAAUCGCUAGUAAUCGUGGAUCAGCAUGUCACGGUGAAUACGUUCCCGGGUCUU